rnacentral:lncRNA from 1 species
CGUGAACUGAACCGACUGAGGUCUCAGUAGAUGACAGAUAAGGGGAAACCUCCUUGACUGGGGGAAAGAGCCGAGGUCCCAGCCUUCUCACUGACUGAGAUGUUGGUGCGCCAGGGCGCGCGGAGGCAGGCAGCUCACCUGCGCGUACAGGUGCAGCAGGCAGACAGUUCAUUUACUCAGCAUACGCUGUCGUCAGCACGCACGCACGCAGAGCCCGCCGUAAAGCAGACGUCCACCUGUCUGUACUCCCGGGACAGUUGAAAUGCACCGUUAACGCUUCGGUGGGACUUCCUGUCGGACUUUGAGAUGAACGUCAAGUGGACAGUGGAAAGAUUUCUUCUCAUGUCAUUUUCAGUCUCCCACUUGCUGCUACUCGAGGGAGCUCAGAGUCACCUUUCACUGGCAGUGGGGAAAUCACUGAGGUAAUUAAGAUAAGAAAAGUCAAAAUAAUUUUUUACAUUUUGUCAGCUAAGUUUAAGGGAUGCAUGAUCAUUAUUUUUUGUGUGUUAUUCUUAUACAAGCUGAUAGUACAAUAAUGAUAAAUGCACACUUUCUGUCCAGACAAGAGUGUGUGACAUAGACAGUGAACAAAAUGUGUGUGCAUGCUUGCCCUUUUGUGUGUGAAGCCUCAGUAAAAAGCAGUUUUCAGUCUCAAUUCAAGUGGUGUAAAGUGCAUUUAAGUCUCCCCUUUGACUGUUUCUUCCCACUAAUGUGCAUUAUUGUGGGUGUGUGUGUGUGUGCGUGCGUAGAAGGGCUAAUGCACUUCGGAGGAAACGGGAUCUCCUUGGGGAGGAGACAUAUAGACCAUUGGUGUCAGAAGACACUCUAUCACGCAGCAUUUUGCACAACUACACAGCUAGAGAUACAUCUUCAGGUAAAUAUGCAAACAGUUGAGUGA